CCUACGGGGGGCAGCAGUGAGGAAUAUUGGUCAAUGGACGAGAGUCUGAACCAGCCAAGUAGCGUGAAGGAUGACUGCCCUAUGGGUUGUAAACUUCUUUUAUAUGGGAAUAAAAUGUUCCACGUGUGGGAUUUUGUAUGUACCAUAUGAAUAAGGAUCGGCUAACUCCGUGCCAGCAGCCGCGGUAAUACGGAGGAUCCGAGCGUUAUCCGGAUUUAUUGGGUUUAAAGGGAGCGUAGGUGGAUUGUUAAGUCAGUUGUGAAAGUUUGCGGCUCAACCGUAAAAUUGCAGUUGAAACUGGCAGUCUUGAGUACAGUAGAGGUGGGCGGAAUGCGGGGUGUAGCGGUGAAAUGCUUAGAUAUCACGAAGAACUCCGAUUGCGAAGGCAGUUCACUGGACUGCAACUGACACUGAGGCUCGAAAGUGUGGGUAUCAAACAGGAUUAGAUACCCCAGUAGUC
rnacentral:rRNA from 1 species